rnacentral:misc_RNA from 1 species
GUGAGUCAUCGAAUCUUUGAACGCACAUUGCGCCCGCCAGUAUUCUGGCGGGCAUGCCUGUUCGAGCGUCAUUUCAACCCUCAAGCCCCAGCGGCUUGGUGUUGGGGACCGGCCCCGCGCCGCCCCCGAAAUGCAGUGGCGACCUCGCCGCAGCCUCCCCUGCGUAGUAGCACAAACCUCGCACCGGAGCGCGGAGACGGUCACGCCGUAAAACGCCCAACUUUCUAGAGUUGACCUCGGAUCAGGUAGGAAUACCCGCUGAACUUAAGCAUAUCAAUAAGCGGAGGA